rnacentral:tRNA from 1 species
GGAGGGGCUAGUGCUGUAAGCAGGCGCGUGGCUUGCAUAGCCGUGGACGCCGGUUCAAUUCCGACCCCCGCCUCCA